ACUUUCAGCAGUGAGGAAGGCGGAGUCGUUAAUAGCGGCCUCGUUUGACGUUAGCUGCAGAAGAAGCACCGGCUAACUCCGUGCCAGCAGCCGCGGUAAGUACGGAGGGUGCGAGCGUUAAUCGGAAUUACUGGGCGUAAAGCGCAUGCAGGUGGUUUGUUAAGUCAGAUGUGAAAGCCCGGGGCUCAACCUCGGAAUAGCAUUUGAAACUGGCAGACUAGAGUACUGUAGAGGGGGUAGAAUUUCAGGUGUAGCGGUGAAAAUGCGUAGAGAUCUGAAGGAAUACCGGUGGCGAAGGCGGCCCCCUGGACAGAUACUGACACUCAGAUGCGAAAGCGUGGGGAGCAAACAGGAUUAGAUACCCUGGUAG
rnacentral:rRNA from 1 species